CCCGUGUCGUUUUAUACCUUUGUUGCUUUGGUGGGCCGCUAGGCUCCGGCCCGGCUCCUGGCUCCGGCGAGGAAGUGCCCACCAGAGGACCCAAAAACCCGAGUAUUAGUGUCGUCUGAGUACUAUAUAAUAGUUAAAACUUUCAACAACGGAUCUCUUGGCUCUGGCAUCGAUGAAGAACGCAGCGAAAUGCGAUAAGUAAUGUGAAUUGCAGAAUUCAGUGAAUCAUCGAAUCUUUGAACGCACAUUGCGCCCCUUGGUAUUCCAGGGGGCAUGCCUGUUCGAGCGUCAUUUCAACCCUCAAGCUCUGCUUGGUCUUGGGCGUCACCGGUCUCGGUGUGCCUUAAAAUCAGUGGCGGCGCCGUCUGGCUCUAAGCGUAGUACAUACUCUCGCUAUGGACGCCCGGCGGAUGCUUGCCAGCAACCCUCAUUUUUUUUUCUGGUUGACCUCGGAUCAGGUAGGGAUACCCGCUGAACUUAAGCAUAUCAAUAAGCGGAGGAAAAGAAACCAACAGGGAUUACCUCAGUAACGGCGAGUGAAGCGGUAACAGCUCAAAUUUGAAAUCUGGGUCUUUUAGGCUCCGAGUUGUAAUUUGUAGAAGAUGCUUCGGGUGCGGCUCCGGUCUAAGUUCCUUGGAACAGGACGUCAUAGAGGGUGAGAAUCCCGUAUGUGAUCGGGGGCCUGCGCCCAUGUGAAGCUCUUUCGACGAGUCGAGUUGUUUGGGAAUGCAGCUCAAAAUGGGUGGUAUAUUUCAUCUAAAGCUAAAUAUUGGCCAGAGACCGAUAGCGCACAAGUAGAGUGAUCGAAAGAUGAAAAGCACUUUGGAAAGAGAGUUAAACAGUACGUGAAAUUGUUGAAAGGGAAGCGCUUGCAACCAGACUUGGGCGGGGUCGAUCAUCGGGGGUUCUCCCUCGUGCACUCGACCUCGCACA
rnacentral:misc_RNA from 1 species